rnacentral:rRNA from 1 species
UAGAGUUUGAUCCUGGCUCAGAACGAACGCUGGCGGCAGGCCUAACACAUGCAAGUCGAACGCCCUAGCAAUAGGGAGUGGCAGACGGGUGAGUAACGCGUGGGAACCUUCCCAGUGGUACGGAAUAGCCCAGGGAAACGUGGAGUAAUACCGUAUAAUACCCGAAAGGGGAAAGAUUUAUCGCCAUUGGAUGGGCCCGCGUCGGAUUAGCUAGUUGGUGAGGUAAUGGCUCACCAAGGCGACGAUCCGUAGCUGGUCUGAGAGGAUGAUCAGCCACACUGGGACUGAGACACGGCCCAGACUCCUACGGGAGGCAGCAGUGGGGAAUAUUGGGCAAUGGGCGAAAGCCUGACCCAGCCAUGCCGCGUGAGUGACGAAGGCCUUAGGGUUGUAAACCUCUUUUGCUCGGGAAGAAGGCAGUGACGGUACCGAGCGAAUCAGCCUCGGCUAACUCCGUGCCAGCAGCCGCGGUAAUACGGAGGAGGCAAGCGUUAUCCGGAAUCAUUGGGCGUAAAGAGUCCGUAGGUGGCAACGCAAGUCGGCGGUCAAAGACCGGAGCUUAACUCCGGAGCGGCCGUGGAAACUGCGUAGCUAGAGUCCGGUAGGGGUAGCGGGAAUUCCCAGUGUAGCGGUGAAAUGCGUAGAGAUUGGGAAGAACAUCGGUGGCGAAAGCGCGCUACUGGGCCGGAACUGACACUGAGGGACGAAAGCUAGGGGAGCGAAAGGGAUUAGAUACCCCGGUAGUCCUGGCAGUAAACGGUGCGCGCUUGGUGUGGGCGGGUUCAGACCCCGUCCGUGCCGGAGCUAACGCGUUAAGCGCGCCGCCUGGGAAGUACGGUCGCAAGAUUAAAACUCAAAGAAAUUGACGGGGGCCCGCACAAGCGGUGGAGUAUGUGGUUUAAUUCGAUGCAACGCGAAGAACCUUACCAAGGCUUGACAUGUCCAGGAUCCUGCUGAGAGGCGGGAGUGCCUUCGGGAGCGCGAACACAGGUGGUGCAUGGCUGUCGUCAGCUCGUGUCGUGAGAUGUUGGGUUAAGUCCCGCAACGAGCGCAACCCACGUCUUUAGUUGCCAGCAUUGAGUUGGGCACUCUAGAGAGACUGCCGGGGACAACUCGGAGGAAGGUGUGGACGACGUCAAGUCAUCAUGCCCCUUACGUCUUGGGCUACACACGUCCUACAAUGCUACGGACAGAGGGCAGCAAGCCAGCGAUGGUAAGCAAAUCCCAUAAACCGUGGCUCAGUUCAGAUUGCAGGCUGCAACUCGCCUGCAUGAAGGCGGAAUCGCUAGUAAUCGCAGGUCAGCAUACUGCGGUGAAUACGUUCCCGGGCCUUGUACACACCGCCCGUCACACCAUGGGAGUUGGCCACGCCCGAAGUCGUUACUCUAACCGUUCGCGGAGGAGGGCGCCGAAGGCAGGGCUGAUGACUGGGGUGAAGUCGUAACAAGGUAACC